GGUGCCUUAGCUCAGUCGGUAGAGCAAAGGACUGAAAAUCCUUGUGUCGCUGGUUCGAUCCCAGCAGGCACCA
rnacentral:tRNA from 3 species